CGGUUUUAAAAAAGAUCAUGGCAGCCCUUCAGAUUUUACCGUAACUUUGAUUGCUCCUCCUCUUUACAUCCUCGCUCUUACCCGACAUAUUAUCGCUAAAUGCUCUGAAUAAUUUGGUCGAAGCUAUGUAAUUUUUUGGAAUCGUUAUCUUUCGAGCUCUUAACUUUUUUUGCUCUUUACACCUUCGCUCUUAUGCGAAAUAUAAAACUGUUGGCACAUGCUUUAACGUAUAUGACGUGUUUUUUAACGUACUUGGCAAUGAAGGGACAGGUGAAAAAAUUAAAAAUUUUAUGGAAACUUAUGGAAAAGUAUCAAUCUGGAGCAGCUGACAUCGCCAAGAGAGGCUAUAUUUUUUCGAUUUAUGACCUGGUCCAAAGAAACUCAACGCCUCGAAAGAAAAAAGUGCCAAAAUAAUAUCAACAGGUGUCUAAACCAAGCGCUUUUUCCCGGACUGAUCUCUCCGAGUCUAAGCCGGAUCGCAAUACUUCAGCAGUAUCUCAUUCUGAAAGAUAAAGAAAAUAACAGACAUUGGAAACGCGUAGAGAUUUCCACAGCACCGUAAGCAAAAGUUCACUCAAAGUAAGCGUAAUAAUGAACAGCUUGACCAUGAAAGAUGAUCAAAUCCAAGUGCGAAUAUCCGUUCUAAGUACAUCUUUUCAGACUGACUCAAUUUUGUUAUAAAAAGUUUUUUUUAAUAAUUUGACGCUUGCUUUAAUUUCACGACCAAUCGAUCCUGCCGAGGAUGCUACGACAAACGGAAACUUCCCAAGCCUAAUUUGUCGUCCAAAUCGACUAAUGAAUUGAAUUCUUACACUAAAAAAAGACAUUGAGCACUAGCAACACAGGCUAUCGGCUCUUGACUUAUGUAAUUGCUGCCUAUCCUUGUGCAAUUGUAUACAAAUUGGAGAAUUAUUUCACUUAUUUCAAUUUGUCUUUAUUUAAGUUUAAAUUCAUGCUUGUUCUUAGUGCUUUCUCGUACUUAUCAAUGCCGAUGUAAGUAUUUUAAGAAUCUCCUUUUCAAAAAACCAAUAAAAAAAAAUA